rnacentral:rRNA from 1 species
UACGAAGGGGGCUAGCGUUGCUCGGAAUCACUGGCGUAAAGCGCACGUAGGCGGAUUGUUAAGUCAGGGGUGAAAUCCUGGAGCUCAACUCCAGAACUGCCUUUGAUACUGAGGAUCUUGAGUUCGGGAGAGGUGAGUGGAACUGCGAGUGUAGAGGUGAAAUUCGUAGAUAUUCGCAAGAACACCAGUGGCGAAGGCGGACUCGACUG